CGUCAGCUCGUGUCGUGAGAUGUUGGGUUAAGUCCCGUAACGAGCGCAACCCUUGUCCUUAGUUACCAGCACCUCGGGUGGGCACUCUAAGGAGACUGCCGGUGACAAACCGGAGGAAGGUGGGGAUGACGUCAAGUCAUCAUGGCCCUUACGGCCAGGGCUACACACGUGCUACAAUGGUCGGUACAGAGGGUUGCCAAGUCGCGAGGCGGAGCUAAUCCCAGAAAACCGAUCGUAGUCCGGAUCGCAGUCUGCAACUCGACUGCGUGAAGUCGGAAUCGCUAGUAAUCGCGAAUCAGAAUGUCGCGGUGAAUACGUUCCCGGGCCUUGUACACACCGCCCGUCACACCAUGGGGAGUGGGUUGCUCCAGAAGUAGCUAGUCUAACCUUCGGGGGGACGGUUACCACGGAGUGAUUCAUGACUGGGGUGAAGUCUAAA
rnacentral:rRNA from 1 species